rnacentral:rRNA from 1 species
GAUGAACGCUGGCGGCGUGCCUAAUACAUGCAAGUCGAGCGAACAGACGAGGAGCUUGCUCCUCUGACGUUAGCGGCGGACGGGUGAGUAACACGUGGAUAACCUACCUAUAAGACUGGGAUAACUUCGGGAAACCGGAGCUAAUACCGGAUAAUAUAUUGAACCGCAUGGUUCAAUAGUGAAAGACGGUUUUGCUGUCACUUAUAGAUGGAUCCGCGCCGCAUUAGCUAGUUGGUAAGGUAACGGCUUACCAAGGAAACGAUGCGUAGCGGACCUGAGAGGAGGAGCGGCCACAGGGAAAAUGAGACAAGGACCAGACUCAUACGGGAGGCAGCAGCGGGGAAUAUUGGUCAAUGGCCGCGAGCCUGAUCCUGCUAUACCGCGUGCGUGAAGAAGGCCUACGGGUUUUAAAGCUAAUUUGUUGGCAAAGACAAGCAGCCGGUCAAUACCCAGGUGUUCUGACGGUACCCAAAGAAUAAGCACCGGCUAACUUCGUG